GACGAACGCUGGCGGCGUGCUUAACACAUGCAAGUCGAACGAUGAAGCCUUCGGGGUUAGUGGCGCACGGGUGCGUAACGCGUGGGGAUCUGCCCUUUGCUUCGGAAUAACAGUUAGAAAUGACUGCUAAUACCGGAUGAUGUCGAAAGACCAAAGAUUUAUCGGCAAAGGAUGAACCCGCGUAGGAUUAGCUAGUUGGUGGGGUAAAGGCCUACCAAGGCGACGAUCCUUAGCUGGUCUGAGAGGAUGAUCAGCCACACUGGGACUGAGACACGGCCCAGACUCCUACGGGAGGCAGCAGUGGGGAAUAUUGGACAAUGGGCGAAAGCCUGAUCCAGCAAUGCCGCGUGAGUGAUGAAGGCCUUAGGGUUGUAAAGCUCUUUUACCAGGGAUGAUAAUGACAGUACCUGGAGAAUAAGCUCCGGCUAACGCCGUGCCAGCAGCCGCCGUAAGAC
rnacentral:rRNA from 1 species